CCCACUCUGUUUUCUCUCGAGUACACACCGGUGACCGGAGAUCGGAGCUCCGGCUAUCUUCUCCGACAAGCGCCACCCUUACAACCCUUUAUACUUCUCCAUGUUCAAUAGUGUUAAUUUGCAUCAUGUACCCUCAAAGCUUUCCAAAGCCCCGGUAGCGGUACGCGGAUAUAGGGCAUGUUUGACUAAUUCCUCCCAAUAUGUCUUUCUUGUUUGAAUUUGGUAGCAAACCAUUAUGAGUAAAUUCCACUUU
rnacentral:lncRNA from 1 species